GAUCAAGUGUCUUAAGGGCAAUUGGUGGAUGCCUUGGCAUGCACAGGCGAUGAAGGACGUGAUACGCUGCGAUAAGCUACGGGGAGGUGCGAAUACCCUUUGAUCCGUAGAUUUCCGAAUGGGGAAACCCACCUAAGGUACUUGGAAAAUCAGAGCAGCCGGAAGGUCGCAAGGCCGACUUGCUGCUGUGGUUUCCAAGUAUCGAUAAUAGGUAACUUACCCUGAAUACAUAGGGGUAAAGUGGCGAACGCGGGGAACUGAAACAUCUAAGUACCCGUAGGAAAGGACAUCAACCGAGACUCCGGAAGUAGUGGCGAGCGAACCCGGACCAGGCCAGUGGCGAUUGAGAGACAAGCGGAACCUUCUGGAAAGUAGGGCCAUAGUGGGUGACAGCCCCGUACGCGUAAUGCAAUCAAUCGUCCUCGAGUAAGGCGGGACACGUGAAAUCCUGUCUGAAAUUGGGGGGACCACCCUCCAAGCCUAAGUACUCGUGCAUGACCGAUAGCGAACUAGUACCGUGAGGGAAAGGUGAAAAGCACCCCGACAAGGGGAGUGAAAGAGUACCUGAAACCGAUUGCCUACAAACAGUGGAAGCCCAAGGUUCGUCCUGGGUGACCACGUACCUUUUGUAUAAUGGGUCAGCGACUUAGUGUGACGAGCAAGCUUAAACCGCUAGGUGUAGGCGCAGCGAAAGCGAGUCUGAAUAGGGCGUUCAGUUCGCCNNNNNNNNNNNNNNNNNNNNNNNNNNNNNNNNNNNNNNNNNNNNNNNNNNNNNNNNNNNNNNNNNNNNNNNNNNNNNNNNNNNNNNNNNNNNNNNNNNCGCAUUAGACCCGAAACCGAGUGAUCUAGCCAUGAGCAGGUUGAAGGUAAGGUAACACUUACUGGAGGACCGAACCCAUAACUGUUGCAAUAGUUCGGGAUGACUUGUGGCUAGGGGUGAAAGGCCAAUCAAACUCGGAAAUAGCUGGUUCUCCGCGAAAUCUAUUUAGGUAGAGCGUCGACCGAAUACCCCAGGGGGUAGAGCACUGGAUGGGCUAGGGGUCCUCACCGGAUUACCAAACCUAACCAAACUCCGAAUACCUGGGAGUACUAGUCGGCAGACACACGGCGGGUGCUAACGUCCGUCGUGAAAAGGGAAACAACCCUGACCUACAGCUAAGGUCCCCAAGUUAUGGCUAAGUGGGAAAGGAUGUGAGGAUCCCAAAACAACCAGGAUGUUGGCUUAGAAGCAGCCAUCAUUUAAAGAAAGCGUAACAGCUCACUGGUCUAAAUAAGGGUCUUUGCGCCGAAAAUGUAACGGGGCUAAAGCCAUACACCGAAGCUUAGGGUUUGGUCCGCAAGGGCCAAGCGGUAGCGGAGCGUUCUGUAAGCUGAUGAAGCCAUACCCGUGAGGGGUGGUGGAGGUAUCAGAAGUGCGAAUGCUGACAUGAGUAACGUAAGGGGAGUGAGAGACUCCCCCGCCGAAAGACCAAGGGUUCCUGCUUAAAGCUAAUCUGAGCAGGGUUAGCCGGCCCCUAAGACGAGGCGGAAACGCGUAGUCGAUGGGAACCACGUUAAUAUUCGUGGGCUUGGAGGUAGUGACGGAUCAUUGAGGUAGUCCAAUCUUAUCGGAUUGAACGGGCUGCUGCGUGGUUCCAGGAAAUAGCUCCUCCUUAUAAACCGUACCCGAAACCGACACUGGUGGUCUGGUAGAGUAUACCAAGGCGCUUGAGAGAACUAUGCUGAAGGAACUCGGCAAAUUGCACGCGUAACUUCGGAAGAAGCGUGACCCUUUUCUACGCAAGUAGAGGAGGGUGGCACAGACCAGGGGGUAGCGACUGUUUAUCAAAAACACAGGGCUCUGCGAAGUCGCAAGACGACGUAUAGGGUCUGACGCCUGCCCGGUGCUGGAAGGUUAAGAGGAGGGGUGCAAGCUCUGAAUCGAAGCCCCAGUAAACGGCGGCCGUAACUAUAACGGUCCUAAGGUAGCGAAAUUCCUUGUCGGGUAAGUUCCGACCUGCACGAAUGGCGUAACGACUUCCCCGCUGUCUCCAGCAUAGACUCAGUGAAAUUGAAUUCCCCGUGAAGAUGCGGGGUUCCUGCGGUUAGACGGAAAGACCCCGUGCACCUUUACUAUAGCUUUACAUUGGCAUUCGUAGUGGCAUGUGUAGGAUAGGUGGUAGGCUUUGAAACCUGGGCGCCAGCUCAGGUGGAGCCACCCUUGAAAUACCACCCUUAUUACUAUGGAUGUCUAACCGCGGCCCGUUAUCCGGGUCCGGGACAAUGUAUGGUGGGUAGUUUGACUGGGGCGGUCGCCUCCUAAAGAGUAACGGAGGCGCGCGAUGGUGGGCUCAGAACGGUCGGAAAUCGUUCGCUGAGUGCAAUGGCAUAAGCCUGCCUGACUGCGAGACUGACAAGUCGAGCAGAGACGAAAGUCGGUCAUAGUGAUCCGGUGGUCCCGCGUGGAAGGGCCAUCGCUCAACGGAUAAAAGGUACGCCGGGGAUAACAGGCUGAUGACCCCCAAGAGUCCAUAUCGACGGGGUUGUUUGGCACCUCGAUGUCGACUCAUCGCAUCCUGGGGCUGGAGCAGGUCCCAAGGGUAUGGCUGUUCGCCAUUUAAAGCGGUACGUGAGUUGGGUUCAGAACGUCGUGAGACAGUUCGGUCCCUAUCUGCCGUGGGUGUAGGAAUAUUGAAAGGAUCUGUCCCUAGUACGAGAGGACCGGGAUGGACGGAUCUCUGGUGGACCUGUUGUGGCGCCAGCCGCAUAGCAGGGUAGCUAUAUCCGGACGGGAUAACCGCUGAAGGCAUCUAAGCGGGAAACCCACCUUAAAACGAGUAUUCCCUGAGAACCGUGGAAGACGACCACGUUGAUAGGCCGGGUGUGGAAGAGCGGCAACGCUUGAAGCUUACCGGUACUAAUAGUUCGAUCGGCUUGAUCGUUCUCAUU
rnacentral:rRNA from 1 species